rnacentral:rRNA from 1 species
UACGUAGGGGGCAAGCGUUGUCCGGAUUUAUUGGGCGUAAAGAGCGUGUAGGCGGCCAGGUAGGUCUGCUGUGAAAACUCGGGGCUUAACCCCGGGCCUGCAGUGGGUACGGGCAGACUAGAGUGCGGUAGGGGAGACUGGAAUUCCUGGUGUAGCGGUGAAAUGCGCAGAUAUCAGGAGGAACACCGGUGGCGAAGGCGGGUCUCUGGGCCGUAACUGACGCUGAGGAGCGAAAGCGUGGGGAGCGAACAGG